AUUGAACGCUGGCGGCAGGCCUAACACAUGCAAGUCGAACGAGUGGCGGACGGGUGAGUAAUGUCUGGGAAACUGCCUGAUGGAGGGGGAUAACUACUGGAAACGGUAGCUAAUACCGCAUACCAUCAGAUGUGCCCAGAUGGGAUUAGCUAGUUGGUGGGGUAACGGCUCACCAAGGCAACGAUCCCUAGCUGGGCUGAGAGGAUGACCGGCCAAACUGGAACGGGGACACGGUCCAGACUCCUACGGGAGGAACCAGUGGGGAAUAUUGGCCAAGGGGCGAAAGCCUGAUGCAGCCAUGCCGCGUGUAUGAAGAAGGCCUUCGGGUGGUAAAGUACGUUCAGCGGGGAGGCGUUACCCGCACAAGAAGCACCGGCUAACUCCGUGCCAGCAGCCGCGGUAAUUC
rnacentral:rRNA from 1 species